UGGGGGGGUUGGGGUGCUCCUGACCCCCUCUCUUUGUCUCCCCCCCCACCUCCAGGCUGUGCACGGGGCCCUGUGCCCCCAUCCGGGAGUACAUCAUGGGCCACGUGCGGCACCCGCGGAAUGUGAAGAAGAUCAAAGGGAACCUGCUGUGGUACCAGCACCUCAAGGAGAUUCAGGU